AGUGAACGCUGGCGGUAGGCCUAACACAUGCAAGUCGAACGGCAGCACAGUAAGAGCUUGCUCUUACGGGUGGCGAGUGGCGGACGGGUGAGGAAUACAUCGGAAUCUACUUUUUCGUGGGGAUAACGUAGGGAAACUUACGCUAAUACCGCAUACGACCUACGGGUGAAAGCAGGGGAUCUUCGGACCUUGCGCGAUUGAAUGAGCCGAUGUCGGAUUAGCUAGUUGGCGGGGUAAAGGCCCACCAAGGCGACAAUCCGUAGCUGGUCUGAGAGGAUGAUCAGCCACACUGGAACUGAGACACGGUCCAGACUCCUACGGGAGGCAGCAGUGGGGAAUAUUGGACAAUGGGCGCAAGCCUGAUCCAGCCAUACCGCGUGGGUGAAGAAGGCCUUCGGGUUGUAAAGCCCUUUUGUUGGGAAAGAAAAGCAGCAGGUUAAUACCCCGCUGUUCUGACGGUACCCAAAGAAUAAGCACCGGCUAACUUCGUG
rnacentral:rRNA from 1 species